UGGAACACAAAUACUCCAAAGCUGCUGCACAUAAUUGAACUUUGAAGUUUGUUUAGUCAAUUCCACCGCAAAUUCUCAUCUUUCUUUCUUCUCUUGACACGCUGCACCCACGAACACAUACUUGUCACCUUUUGAGAUCAAGUCCUAGUCUGCCUCAUUUGAUCGUCUUGGCCUUUUGCAAGUAUAAUAACCUGUGCAUCAGAUUUGUCUUGGAAUUUACUGCCACAAAGUGUGUGUUUAAUUUUGACAACUUGAGACUCGCCUUGCAUUCCACUGCACUUUCUUUCUUGCCUGUCAUCUUUUGGUGUUAAAAGCCUCAGACCGCCUCUAGACUAUUUUGGCCUUCUGCAAACAUAAAGACUUGUGCACCAAAUUUGUUCUUAAUUGGAUGCUUCAAAGCUUGUCUUCAAUUUUAAUAAAUUUGCUUGCUGUGCAGGUUCAAGAAGGACCAGGUGAUUAUAGUCACAGUAAUGUCAAAGUCUUGAAGCUUUAUUUUAAGGGUGACCAUCUUCCUCCAAGUGCCAGUUCUGGUUUCAUCUCGUUGGCAGACAUGACUUUUAGAGUCUGCUGCAGAACUGUAUUUAUUUUGACAGCCUUUCUCCGUCUCCUUCCUUAGAAUCAGAAGGUUGGGCCUGGACAAUAUCAUCCUGCAGUUAUCCACUAUUUCCUACUUUUCAAAUUAUAGUGCUGCUAUUUAUUAGUUUUAUUCUGUAAUUAUUGUGAGUGUUCCUAAGAGUACUCAAUCUCUACAACUCCCUCUGACACCUAAAACCACCACCUUGUUUCAUGUUCAUUUCUUUUUGACCUUCACUUGACCUUCACACCUAACUCCCUAGUUGCAUUAAUAUUUUUUUUUUCUCUUUGUGAUUAUAAUUUCUCCCUUUUGCAUAUAGCAUGAUUACAAACCAGAUGAGGAGUAUGCAGAGGUAGAAUCCAGAUUUCGUUCACAUUUGGAAUCUUUUCUAGAAACUACAAGAUCAUUCAAUAUGAUUUACACCGAGGUCUGACAUGCUUUUCCUUAAUAUGUUGCCUUUUGACAUUCAGCUGUUUUUGUUUUUCUUGUUAUCUCUUACUAUAUGCUGUACCAAACUGAAGGAUUAUGGCAUAGUUGUUACUUAGAAUUUGUAUAUUUUCUUCCAUGAUGUUGAACUUUAUACUCUUUAGUGGACUCCAUAUGCACAUAGUAUGUAUAAGAAAAUUGCUUUUGCUUCUUUCUGCUCCAUGCUAGUUGUGUUCUCUUUACUGAUGGGAGAGUUAUCAAGUGGAUACCUCCAUUGAUUUGAGCAAGCACCAUGUUUCCAAGAUGUUUCAGGACAAAGUUGCGUUCAGGACUGUCUAAUUUCUUCAAGUUCUAGCAGAUCUUUACUUGAAGAUGAGGACCGAGUUCUAGCAACUGUGAGGGAUCAGAAGUUGGGAUUUUGUUGAAACAGAAGAAAGGAAAAGAAGAAGAGGAGGGAGACGGGAAUAAGUUGAUGCUCGAUUUGAACAAAAAUUGAGUAAACUGAUCAUCCCAGGUACUCUGUGCAAUAGUCAUAAGUCUGAACGAUUAAAGAGAGCCAAAUCUGAGAAAUCAUCACUUAUGGAACUAGUUCCUAUAUUUAACUUGUGUCUAGUAGAAAUUCUUCCUUCAUUAAGAAUGUGGACUUGUUUGCAGAUUCAAAUUAGUAGAUAUGGGUCAUUUUGAACUGAUGCUCAUGAUUAGGUUUGUGUACAUGAGACAAUGAUGGAUUAGUGGAAAUUGCAAUGAAUGCUUUUGGAUGUGGA